GAUCAUGGCUCAGGACGAACGCUGGCGGCGUGCCUAAUACAUGCAAGUAGAACGCUGAAGAGAGGAGCUUGCUCUUCUUGGAUGAGUUGCGAACGGGUGAGUAACGCGUAGGUAACCUGCCUGGUAGCGGGGGAUAACUAUUGGAAACGAUAGCUAAUACCGCAUGAAAUUGCUUAUCGCAUGAUAAUUAAUUGAAAGAUGCAAUUGCAUCACUACCAGAUGG
rnacentral:rRNA from 1 species